UCUGGGAAAGAUUCUAUCGGUAUGGGAUGGGGUCGCGUCCUAUCAGGUAGUCGGCGGGGUAACGGCCCACCGAGCCUACGACGGGUAGCCGGCCUGAGAGGGCGACCGGCCACAUUGGGACUGAGAUACGGCCCAGACUCCUACGGGAGGCAGCAGUGGGGAAUAUUGCACAAUGGGCGCAAGCCUGAUGCAGCGACGCCGCGUGCGGGAUGACGGCCUUCGGGUUGUAAACCGCUUUUGACUGGCAGCAAGCCCUUCGGGGUGAGUGUACCUUUCGAAUAAGCACCGGCUAACUACGUGCCAGCAGCCGCGGUAAU
rnacentral:rRNA from 1 species